rnacentral:rRNA from 1 species
AUUGAACGCUGGCGGCAGGCCUAACACAUGCAAGUCGAACGGUAACAGGAAGCAGCUUGCUGCUUCGCUGACGAGUGGCGGACUGGUGAGUAAUGUCUGGGAAACUGCCUGAUGGAGGGGGAUAACUACUGGAAACGGUAGCUAAUACCGCAUAACGUCGCAAGACCAAAGAGGGGGACCUUCGGGCCUCUUGCCAUCGGAUGUGCCCAGAUGGGAUUAGCUAGUAGGUGGGGUAACGGCUCACCUAGGCGACGAUCCCUAGCUGGUCUGAGAGGAGGACCAGCCACACUGGAACUGAGACACGGUCCAGACUCCUACGGGAGGCAGCAGUGGGGAAUAUUGCACAAUGGGCGCAAGCCUGAUGCAGCCAUGCCGCGUGUAUGAAGAAGGCCUUCGGGUUGUAAAGUACUUUCAGCGGGGAGGAAGGCGAUAAGGUUAAUAACCUUGUCGAUUGACGUUACCCGCAGAAGAAGCACCGGCUAACUCCGUGCCAGCAGCCGCCGUAA